rnacentral:rRNA from 1 species
GUCUACAGCCAUACCACUCUGAACACACCCGAUCUCAUCUGAUCUCAGAAGCUAAGUGGGGUCGGGCUUGGUUAGUACUUGGUGGGAGAAAAGAGGAUUGCACUGCACU